GACGAACGCUGGCGGCGUGCUUAACACAUGCAAGUCGAACGGAAAGGCCCUGCUUUUGUGGGGUGCUCGAGUGGCGCACGGGUGAGUAACACGUGAGUAACCUGCCCUUGACUUUGGGAUAACUUCAGGAAACUGGGGCUAAUACCGCAUAGGAGCUCCUGCUGCAUGUGGGGCGUUGGAAAGUUUCGGCGGUUGGGGAUGGACUCGCGGCUUAUCCGCUUGUUUGUGUGGUAGUGGCUUACCAAGGCUUUGACGGAUAGCCGGCCUGAGAGGGGGACCGGCCACAUUGGGACUGAGAUACGGCCCAGACGCCUACGGGAGGCAGAAGUGGGGAAUAUUGCACAAUGGGCGGAAGCCUGAUGCAGCAACGCCGCGUGCGGGAUGACGGCCUUCGGGUUGUAAACCGCUUUCGCCUGUGACGAAGCGUGAGUGACGGUAAUGGGUAAAGAAGCACCGGCUAACUACGUG
rnacentral:rRNA from 1 species